rnacentral:rRNA from 1 species
GGCCAGACUCCUACGGGAGGCAGCAGUAGGUCCUCUUUCACAAUUUUCGCCAGCCUGAUGGCGCCACGCCGCGUGCCGGAUGAAGGCCUUCGGGUUGUAACCUGCUUUUAUAAGCGAGAAAUAUGAUGGUAACUUAUGAAUAAGGAUCGGCUAACUACGUGCCAGCAGCCGCGGUCAUACGUAGGAUCCGAGCAUUAUCCGGAGUGACUGGGGGUAAAGAGUUGCGGAGGUGGCAUAGUAAGGAGCUAGUGAAAUCGGGUGGCUCAACCAGUCAGACUAUUAGCUAAACUGCUAAGCUCGAGACCGGGAGGGGUAACGGGAAUUUCUAGUGGAGGAGUGAAAUCCGGAGAGAUUAGAAGGAACACCGAUAGCGGAGGCAGGUUACUGGGACGGUUCUGACACGAAGGCACGAAAGCGGAGGGAGCAAACGGGAGGAGAUACCCCUGUACC